rnacentral:rRNA from 1 species
CAAAAACAUGUCCAUUAAGAAGUUAUUAAUGGUCAAGCCUGCUCACUGACUAAUAAAGUUAAAGAGCCGCGGUAUUUUGACCGUGCAAAGGUAGCAUAAUCAUUAGUUUUUUAAUUGAGAACUAGUAUGAAUGGUUUGACAAAGGAAAAGCUGUCUAUAUGUUAAAUGUAAAACUUAAUUUUUAAGUGAAAAAGCUUAAAUGAUUCAGGGGGACGACAAGACCCUAUAAAGCUUUAUAUGUUAUUUGUAGUUAAUUAAAUUAGAGUAUGAAAAAUUGGCUGUAAGUGAUUUAUUCUGUUGGGGCGACAAAGAUAAAAUUAAUAACUGUUAUUAAUAAUAAUCAGUGGUAAUUGAAAUAGUAGUAAAAGAUCCUUAUUAAAGAUUUAAAGAUCAAGUUACUUUAGGGAUAACAGCGUAAUUUCUUUUGAGAGUCCACAUCGAAAAAGAAGAUUGCGACCUCGAUGUUGAAUUAAGGUUUCUUUAUUGUGCAGCCGCAAUAAAAAGAAGGUCUGUUCGACCUUUAAAGUCUUACAUGAUUUGAGUUCAGACCGGUGUAAGCCAG